UUGACCUCGAAUCAGGUAGGAAUACCCGCUGAACUUAAGCAUAUCAAUAAGCG
rnacentral:rRNA from 4 species